rnacentral:rRNA from 1 species
GACGUAGGGGGCGAGCGUUGUCCGGAAUCAUUGGGCGUAAAGAGCGUGUAGGCGGCUCGAUAAGUCCGCUGUGAAAGUCCAGGGCUCAACCCUGGGAUGCCGGUGGAUACUGUCGGGCUCGAGUCCGGAAGAGGCGAGUGGAAUUCCUGGUGUAGCGGUGAAAUGCGCAGAUAUCAGGAGGAACACCAAUGGCGAAGGCAGCUCGCUGGGACGUGACUGACGCUGAGACGCGAAAGCGUGGGGAGCAAACAGG